AACAGGCUGGAAGGCAAACUGUCCUCAGUGUGUUUCAUAAGCUGACGUGGGACAGGAUUUCUUUUUGCUGCUGUGUCAGUAUAUCAAAAUCAUACCUGCACAUCAAUCAAAUUGUAUCUGAA
rnacentral:pre_miRNA from 12 species